CUCAUUCACCCAACAAAUACUCAGCCUUGUUCUAUGCAGGGGCUCUGUUUUCCUUUGUUUCUGCAUUUUCUCACAGAACUGGUCUGAAGCCCGGUUAUUCAUUUGCAAAGUCCCCCUACCUAACUGUACCGGCUCAGCAACGCAGAACGAACCAGCCCCCUUAUGUUGGUGCGUCCAGAGGUCCAGGAGAGCAGCCGGGUCCAGCAUGUUCCGUCCCCACCAGCCAAGCAGAGGCUCUUACCCCAACUUGUCACAUGACCUCUGGCAGAAGCCAACCUUUCCUUGGGCUUCAGCUUUCACAGCACAAUAUCAGUAAAAGGGGCUAAAACGGGGGUCUGGCUGCUCGCCGCUCAAAGCCAGUAAAGAGAGGCGAGCUGGGUGGGAAGGAACAUUUGCUUUAUCCCUGAGGUCGGCAAACGGGGGAGGCUGGACUUGUGUCCACGGGCGCUCUCACCUCCCUGACCACCGGGGGGCAAGAGCUUUUAAAGGAGAGCUUCAGGGGCAUAAACAGACGCAGGGGACCACAAGCAGCCAGCAUGUUGGUCUCACCGCGGCCUGAGCAGCCCCCUUGACGGAGCACCGCGCAUCUUCCUUCCGGGGUCAGCCUGGUCCCGUUUCUCUGAGUCGGAAUCGUGGCAGCUGAUGUCCUGGCUACCGUCGGGUCGGCAUGUGGUUCACUUCUUCCACCUGCUGGGGCCCCGCGAUCCACAGACAGCGUGGAGGAUGGGGUUCCGAGUAUCACCUGCCGCCCGUGAGGAGAAACUAAAGGGCCCUGACUCUGCGUGACGGCUAAACCAUCAUUAGUUGGUAUUGUUUGGUCUUGACUGUUUUCCUUGGUUUCUGCAUCUUCUCACUUCUCCGAUUACACGUACUCUUUGGCUGAAGUUCUCUGCAGACCAAAGGCUGGCUGAGGACAUAGGGGUGGGGGUGAGGGCCUUGCUCCAGUUCAAGGUGACUAGGAUUUUGCUCUAACACACUGUGCUCCUGCAUCCAGCUGAGUCCCUCCUUUCAGCAUAACAAUCGCCAUAAAAACCCAGAAGCUAACAGUUAUUGUGCACGAACUGUAUACUUGGCCCUAUUCUAUGUGUUUGUGCAGAGAAAAACACGUUUCUUUGCAUCUUCACGACACCUCCUAUUAGACAGACACCAUGUACUGCCCCCAGUCUACGGAGGAGGAAACUGGAGCUCAGGUGACUUGAUUGAUCCAAAGUCACAUGACAUUAGCCGUCAGAGCGGGGCUGUGUGCAGGCUGCCUGGCCCAGACCUGGCCUUUCACCCUCCCAGUGGGCAGCCAACUAGAAGACACAAUCUCUGGCUCAAUUACUACCUGCUCAACGGAGCUUCAGGUCUUUCCUGUGCACCCAGCUGCCCCCAGUCUGCUCCCUGUAACGUUCCACGAGCUCCAAGACGCCACGUGUCCAAAUGCAUCCUCACCCCACAUGCUCCUGAUUGUCCUCGGGCACCCACCUGCCAUUCUCCGUGCUGUGCGCCAGCCUGAAUGGUGCCCAUAUGCGAAUCAGAAAAAGACGCCCCCUCCCUGCAGGCAGAUGCAGUCUCACCAGGUUACAGGUAGAGCCGAGGCCUGCACAACCCAAUUGGGGGUCCUUCGUGGCUCUACCGUCUUCCAGGCUGCUCAGGCCCAGAGUGGGACUUGGCCUUGACCUCCCUCCACCCUUCUCGCUCAUCAAACUCUCUCUGCUCUGCUCUCCAGGGGGCCAGGGUCUCGAGGGAGCAGGGUGCCGCAAAAGUUUUACUCCUUUACUCUAAAUCUUUUUUUCCUUUUUUGGGCACACCCACAGCAUAUGGAAGUCCAGAUGGGGGCACAGAAUUUGAACUGGAGCUGCAAGUUACACCACACCAAUGACACAAGGAGGGGGCGCUGGAGGCCCUGCUGCCCUUGAAGCCCACGGUGCAACGUGCGGGCACAACCUAUGGGGUCCCUGGGGCCAGGCCCUGGAAAAGCCUCUGGUCCCAGUGCUUAAGGGGGAAGAGUCGCCUAAAGGUGUGAAGUUCAAAGGCUCUGCUGAAUCUGCCCUUCCCAUUGCAGCCACCAGGUGGCAGCCGAGGCUACAGGCAGAAGAAGAGCAGCCCCUCCCCAACCCACUGAAGACCAACCAGAUGGAGCAUCAGUGUUCCCUGACCCUGACCUUCAGGGGAAAGAGCUUGCGCGAGCAGGUGCAGGUUUCCCUUCCCUGGGCUCAGCCCUGACCUGGGUGCUGGUGAUCAGAGAGGAAAGUCACCCCAGGCCUGCCCUUGAGGAGCGCCCAGACCUGGGGCCGGACACAGACCAGUGAACAGACCACACAGGGUGCAGCCUCGCGGGGAAGGCAUGACAGGACCACUUCUCCUGGCAAGUGCACGGAGCAUCUAAAAGGCCAAGUGGUCCCACACGCAGUGGGAAGAAGAGCUGGCAUUUGAACCAGAGCCUGCACGAAUCUUAAGCCCGAGCUCCUGGCCACUGUGACACUCAAGCUAGAUCUCCGCAGCCUUUUUUCAAAACCAACUCCAGGCUGGAAGUUCCCCUUUGAGUCUAACUGAAGUAAGCUGUGCUGCCAUCACCUUCGACUCUGCAGUUCCUGCGUGCAGCUUUUCCCGCGGUUUCCAGAAGCCUCUGCCCUCACCCGCUGACGUCCCCAAAGGGCUCUGCUCUCCCUGGAUAUCGCUGUGCUCCUGGGAGCCCAAGGAAGACCAGCCCUUCAAGGACAGACACACAGCAGCAGACAGAUGUCUCAGGAGGGGACAGAGGCCCGCAGGAGACUUUUGAAGGGUCCUCCCUCCAGGCCAACAUCGCUGUGUCUCUAGUGCCUCCCUGUAUCACGAGGAGCCCAGGCUGGACAUCCGAAACAUUAUUCUGCCUCAGUCCCACUCAAAAGUCCUUCCUUGAGGCUACCUGAAGGCUCUCCUGCUGCAGGGAGGUCCUGCCUCUUCUCUGGGCUCUCUCUCUCAGCCUGGCAGGUGCUGGGAAGGAGGGGGCUCCAGGAACUCUGCCCUGCGGCUUAUCUCUUUGAGUAACAAACAAUACACAGUGUGGUUACUAGA